rnacentral:rRNA from 1 species
GUGUCAGCAGCCGCGGUAAUACAGAGGGUGCAAGCGUUGUUCGGAAUUAUUGGGCGUAAAGCGCGUGUAGGCGGCUUUGCAAGUCGGGUGUGAAAGCCCUCAGCUCAACUGAGGAAGUGCGCCCGAAACUGCAGAGCUUGAGUGCCGGAGAGGGUGGCGGAAUUCCCCAAGUAGAGGUGAAAUUCGUAGAUAUGGGGAGGAACACCGGUGGCGAAGGCGGCCACCUGGACGGUAACUGACGCUGAGACGCGAAAGCGUGGGGAGCAAACAGGAUUAGAAACCCCCGUAGUCC